GACGAACGCUGGCGGCGUGCUUAACACAUGCAAGUCGAACGGAAAGGCCCUGCUUUUGUGGGGUGCUCGAGUGGCGAACGGGUGAGUAACACGUGAGUAACCUGCCCUUGACUUUGGGAUAACUUCAGGAAACUGGGGCUAAUACCGGAUAGGAGCUCCUGCUGCAUGGUGGGGGUUGGAACGUUUCGGCGGUUGGGGAUGGACUCGCGGCUUAUCAGCUUGUUGGUGGGGUAGUGGCUUACCAAGGCUUUGACGGGUAGCCGGCCUGAGAGGGUGACCGGCGACAUUGGGACUGAGAUACGGCCCAGACUCCUACGGGAGGCAGCAGUGGGGAAUAUUGCACAAUGGGCGGAAGCCUGAUGCAGCAACGCCGCGUGCGGGAUGACGGCCUUCGGGUUGUAAACCGCUUUCGCCUGUGACGAAGCGUGAGUGACGGUAAUGGGUAAAGAAGCACCGGCUAACUACGUG
rnacentral:rRNA from 1 species